UACGUAGGGUGCAAGCGUUGUCCGGAAUUAUUGGGCGUAAAGAGCUCGUAGGCGGCUUGUCGCGUCGACUGUGAAAUCCCGCGGCUCAACUGCGGGUCUGCAGUCGAUACGGGCAGGCUAGAGUUCGGUAGGGGAGACUGGAAUUCCUGGUGUAGCGGUGAAAUGCGCAGAUAUCAGGAGGAACACCGAUGGCGAAGGCAGGUCUCUGGGCCGAUACUGACGCUGAGGCGCGAAAGCGUGGGGAGCAAACAGG
rnacentral:rRNA from 1 species